rnacentral:sRNA from 1 species
UAGUCAUGCAGCCCAUGAGGAAGAGAACCUCCGGGGGCAGGGAGGUUCGACUCGAGCGAAGCGAGAGAACGUUGCGCCAGCAACGGCCCGCAGGGCGAGCCACGAAGUGGCGAGUAAUCCUCUAUCACCGACCA